rnacentral:tRNA from 1 species
GCUGGGGUGGCGAAAAUGGUAACCGCACUAGCUUUAGGAGCUAGCACCGUUAAGGUUUGUGGGUUCGAAUCCCACCCCCAGCACUA